rnacentral:lncRNA from 1 species
AAAAAAGUUUGAAAAACUGUAUGUUUUGAAGUCAGACUGCAGAUGUUCAUGACCCUGCUCAGCCACAAAACUGUGUGGCUUUGGGUAAAUUACUUAACUUCUCUGAAUGGCUUAAAUUCUCAGUUUCCUAAUCUGUAAAAUGGAAAUAAUAAUCGCAUCGACCUCCCAGUUGUUUUGAAGAAUGUGGCAGAUUGUGUUUUUCAAAGAUGGUCAUAACCACAUCUCUCAUUCCUUAUGCCUUUGCAGAAUCUCGCCAUUUCCUCAUCAAGAAGUUGAAUGGAAGUCCCCUCUCCUUGAACGUAGGUGGGCAUUUGAAUUGCCUCAAUCAGCAGAGUAGCGUGGAGGUGAUGCUAUAACUUCUGAGGCCAGGUCAUGACAAUGCCAUGCACUAAGUUCCUAUUUCCCAGAACCUGGCUGCCAUGUUGUGAGGAAGCCCAAGAAGCCCAUGGAGAGGAAUGGAGACCCCACCCUCAUGCCCCCAGUGGAUAGCUCCAGCUGAGAUCCCAGCUAACAGCCAGAACCAACGUGCCAGUCAUGCAGCUCCAGUGCAAGCCCCAAGGAGGCGCUCCGCCGAGGACACUGCAACUCCCCUGCCUCACCCAGUUUCAUGCAUUACAGAUUCGCAUGCAUGCUAUGAAAUUCAAAUGUGUGGAAAUCGAGCAUUGGUCCGCCGUGUUAUAAAGAGGUGAGCAUUUAAUCCCUGGAGGGUUAAACUAGAUGAUCAAGUCUCUGAGUAAACUGUUUAGGCACGGUCAUUGAUAGUCUACUUCCAGAAUUUUGUACGUGUCCAUUUCGUUAGCUCUUUUCCUUCCCAGUUGAACAUUUAUCUGGGUGACUUUUCAUCCAAUAAGUAGCUGACUAAGGUGAAAGAUUUGCCACUUCUGGCCUGUUCCGUGCAGUUUUCUUCUUGGUCUCCAACAUACCGGGUUUAUGAGACCAGCCCUUCUUCCUCUGGGGAUAAACGCUUCCGGGUGUCGGGUCUUCACUCAUUUCGAUAACACUUUUAUGAAACCAAGGGCAAUAUAAUAUUCAAACAAUUGCACAGGACGUUCUGCAGAGCAUCAGCAAAUGUAGAGAGAGGCUCAAGGGAGCCUGGUUUAGGGAUGUGGGCCCCUUGGGAGAAGCCGGGGUUCCCAGCAGCUGAGCCAACCCCAUGGGACGUGCACAGGAUGUGUGUUCAGGGAGACACACAUCAGAGACCGCUGGACACUUCCUCACCCGGGCCCUGGACUGGGUAUCUUCAUCUUGAUCAAGAUUCAGGAAGCAUGGAGCCCCACCCUCACUUUCUACCCCACAACCUGUAGCCCCUGCAUCUCCCAGGGUGGAGUCCUCCUGCAUGCCAGCCUGGCUACAACCACACAGCAGGAAAGGACCAGGCUGUGGGUACUGGCAUGGGCUGAGACCCCUAGCUUCAGGCUGGUUCUGGGCACAUACCAGGGAGAAAGGUUUGUCCAGGAGAACGUAUCUGCUGGAGGAGCACCCCAGAUUAGAUCCAAGGUAUGUGUGUGAAGGAUCAGAAAGGGUAAGACAAAGAGCAUCUUUCUGACUCUUCCCCUACACAGGCCAGGUCAAGCCCCCUGGUGCUCUCCCUAGAGCUCCAGCACCUUCUUCUAAAGCAGCACACACCACGUGCAGUUUUUCUCCUGUUGGAGCCAUUCCUAGGUAAUGUUGGUCUCCCUCCAGAGCGGGAGCUCUGUGAGGGCAAGGUUGAUGUCUUUCAUCACUCCCCACUCUAUCUUUCUUCUUCAUUGCUGCGUUCCCAGGACCUAGUGAAGGGCAACGAUGGGCAAUAAAUGUUAGGUGGAUGAAUGAAUGCAUGGAGUCACUAUGAAGGUGAAAAGGCUCGUGUUAGCAAACGCUUAUUGAGUAUUGAGUGCUUACUGUGUGCCAGGCACUGCUCUUAGCACUUCCACGUGCUAACCACCACUGGAGAAAGAAGUAGUACAAGGAAGGGACUUAAUACAUGCUUCCGGAUGCCUAUGGAGGUAAAUUCCACUGGAGGCCCUUCAGGGACCGCAGGGCUGCCCCCAAUUUUCCCAAAUCUGCUGUAUCCCAGGUAGAACCCAGUAUGAAGUCAUCCUGAGCAAAUGGAUUCAAUUCUCCCUUGCUCUGCAGGAGUGAGAGCUGUUCCACGCAGGUGUCUCUCAGGAAAGCCCAGAUCUCUCAGGCUGCUUUGAUCUGGGGCCAGCAGACCCUGGCAGCUCUUUCUGUCUGUCCCUUGGGCUGCACAUUUCCAGCCCUGAGCCUUUGCCUUCAGUUAUUCCAACAGUGGAGAUGAAACAGGGCAGGCAGCAAUGGGCGUCAGAUUUCCUGGACCAGCAGGACUUGGAAUUUUACGAGAUCUUGAGUUGGAAGGUAUGUGACAGAUCAUUCCACGUGUUCAUUCGUCCAUUCCCUCAGGGGCAGAGAAGGAUUCCUCACUACAACCACUUUCCUCUUGGCACACAAGGAGGCCGCAUUUCCCAGUCUCCUUUGCUCUUAGCUGUGGUCGUGUGAUUGAGAUCUGGUCCAUGGAGGCAGACGUGACAUAAGCCACAUUUAGGCCAGGCCCAUAAACCACCCCCGACUCCCACAACUCCCCCCACCACUUUCUCUCUUUCUCCACCUGCAGUUGAAAGGAGGAGACUCUGGCAUCCUAGAGAAUGGAAGAGCCACGAAAUGGAAGUAGCUUGGGCCCUGGGAUGGCUGCCCACUCAUGAGAAACACUUCGUGGCUUUCAGAGGCAGAGAACAAAAUGAUGGUGUUAAGCCACUGAGAACUUGGGGCUCACCUAUUAGAGCAUUGAGUGUUAUCCCAGCGAGUACAGCUCAUUGAGCAAGUACUUAUUGAGCAUCUACUAUGUGCCAGGCAGUGGGCUAAGCUCUGAGAUAGUAGUGAACGGGUGGAAAAAGUUCCUACCCUUUGGGGAGCUUCCUUUGUAGUUGGAGAGACCGAAUAAACACAGGAUCAUUUCAUAUGGUGGUAAGUGCAGCCAAGAAAAAGAAAGCAGGGUCAUGACAGAGAGAGGGAUAGGGUGGGAGAGGAGUUUUUAAAUCAAGUCGUCAGGAAAGCUUUCCUUGAGAAGGGAAUAUAAUAUCUGCCGUGAGAUUUGAAGACUGAAAAGAAGCUGGCUGUACCUAGAUCUGCAGGAAGAGGAUUCCAGGCAUGGGGAAGAGCAUUAGCAAGGCCCUGAGGAGGGAACAAGGUGGCUGGAGAGAAUGGAGGAGUGAGUGGAAAUGGGUUUGGAGUGGGAGGUGGGAAUCAGACUUGCAGGACAAUGGAGAUUAUACAAAGGGGUCUGAAUGUUAGCCAAGAGUAUUUUAAGUGUUUUAUGACCUGUGCAUUGUGCUAAGCAUUGGAGAAGAUCAAAUGAGUAGCAAAAAUAGACACUGCCCAAUUCUCUUAGAGCUCAGAUUCCAGGUGACUGACUACCUAUCUGAUACUUGAAUCCUCUCUCAAGUGUCUCUGCCAAGCUGUCUUUGCUUGGCUGCCUCCAGUGACAGGGGGCUCACCACCUAGUGAAGCAGCCCAUUGCAUCUCUGCAUGGUUGUGUUGGCUCAAAGUCCUUCCUUAGAUUGCUUCCCGGGGGCCUCUGCUCUGUGGCUCUGGGAUUAAGUAAGUCACCCCUUUCUGUCUUAUGGAAUCAGGGCAGCUACUGCUUUGCCCAGUCAUCAGGGAUAGCAAGGAGGAUAAGACAAAGCCCUUGCCAGAGCUCCUAAUAGCUCAUGUCUUUCAGGAGAGGUCUUUCAGGCAGAGAGAUGCUUUGAUACAUUGACCAAUGUCUCCCCGCCCCCAUCCUUCCUCUGUUCAGGAACCACAGGGUGCUCUGUAUUUUCUGCCUCAGGGAUGGAUGUUAUAACAAGAGGAUAAGAGAGUCAAGUAUGUGGUUUUUGGAUUUCAAAAGCUUAUUUUAAGUCACUAGAAUCUGGCUUUUGAGCCUUAAAAGUAUGAGUUUUGAAGGAUCCAGGGUACAACACUUAGAAAAUAACAGACAACGUGGAAGACUGUGAUGAGUCAAAGAUGGGUGUUGGCAUCUCAGCAGAGAGGGCAGCUCCUGGGUGGGGGACAGAGGAAGGGUCUAGAGAUGAGACAGUCCCCACAGAGGGCAGGGGGAACCUCACCUCGUAUGUAGGAGGGGUAGACUCACAAAGAAGCAAAUUUUCUUUUGAGAGGAUACAGAGAUUAGCUAGGGUGAAAGCAGUGGCUAAUAGCUCACAAAUAUCCUAGUUGAUGAAGCUGGGCAUUCAUUCCCACCUCCUGCUAUCUUGCUGCUAAUUGAUCAGCAUUUCUUCAUUCAGUCCAGGGCCUACUGGAGAGACCCUCUCUUCUGCUGGGUUUGCCACACCACCGAGUGUAAGCUUGAGGGCGCAUCUUGCCACCCUGAUGGGAGAGCCUGCCUGACAACAAAGUAGAACGAGAGAAAAAUUAAGUCGAAAGAGACACGCAGCUUCCUGUUGGUAUUGUGGAGACCCUGGAUGCAGCCACACCUGAAGCUGUAGCUUCAAGAGUUUUCAGGCAUUCAAGAAAACAGAUUUAUUAUUCUUGCUUGUUUCUUAAGCCACUGUGAGCUGGGUUUCUGUCACCUGCAACCAGGAGUCCAGAUAAUACCACCUAGCAGAAGAGAGUGAAAGUGGGAAGUCAUUGAUUGUGUCAGGCGGGAUGCUUUCUCACUGGAGUCCCCCACAACAGACGAGGUGGCUGAAACUCAGAGAAGACAUUGAACUAGCCCAGGAAUAGCCAAAGUUUGAACAUGGCUCUGCU